GCCCACUGGUCCGUUCAUUUUCGUUUGAAGUUUGAACGGACGUUUCACUUUCUCAAAGUCUAGGCUUUGGCGCUCCAUCUCAAAGUCUCGCCGGCGGUAUUUCCCUCUCUCAGCGCCUCUCACUUUCUCUAGCGAGCAGUAAAACACUCUCUCUUCUCUCAGSGCCCUAUCACUUUCUUCAGCAGCGACAGCAGUCACAGCACUCCCUCUUCAGCGGCGACAGCCUUUCCUUUGACCUCUGCGAUUUGUUCAUUCAGGUGAAAAGGACUUGCUUGAUCGGAUGUUGCUGCAAGCAGCAAAGUUUCACUCUAAAAUAUUGUAAUCUGUUGUUCAAAUAACAUUUGCAAGUGGACAAAGGAUGGGAUAUGAUUUUUAACUUUCUUCUAACCAAUUGUGAGUUGAGGAAUACUGAAAAUAAUAAAUAAAAUUGUGACUUAGGAGAUAAGCCUGAUCCUAGCUUCCAAUUCUAUGGGGCCGGGGGGGGGGGAAUCCUGGGGAAGAGCACAGCUGCUGAAGCAAACACCAGGUAAUUUGGUCCAAUUUUCUCAUACAAGGUUCGGUUCUUCAUAAGAGAUUUGGGGGCAUUUUGAUUGAGAGAGGUUAAUUAGGAAGUGGAAUCAGUUCAGGUAAAACAUAGGUGUUCAAAUCAUCGAGGACAUUUCUUGUUAAAAAGAGAUGGUGGAUGUUUCUAGUAGCUGAAAUGGGAUUUCUUGGUUUGCAUUUUCAUGUAGUUAAGUUCUGUUGUUAGCUUGUUUUGUGUUUUUCCAAUUGGAUUUGUGGGGCAGAAUUUGUUAAACCUUGUGUUAUCUUUUUCUCAGUAUGGGGUAACACCAAGCCUUGUAAUCUUUCUUUAUUUUAUAUUUUAAUGAAAUUUUCAUUAGAGAUCAGAAA